rnacentral:misc_RNA from 1 species
GAUGAAGAACGCAGCAAAAUGCGAUAAGUAAUGUGAAUUGCAGAAUUCAGUGAAUCAUCGAAUCUUUGAACGCACAUUGCGCCCGCUGGUAUUCCGGCGGGCAUGCCUGUUCGAGCGUCAUUUCAACCCUCAAGCCCCCGGGUUUGGUGUUGGGGAUCGGCUCUGCCCUUCUGGGCGGUGCCGCCCCCGAAAUACAUUGGCGGUCUCGCUGCAGCCUCCAUUGCGUAGUAGCUAACACCUCGCAACUGGAACGCGGCGCGGCCAUGCCGUAAAACCCCAACUUCUGAAUGUUGACCUCGGAUCAGGUAGGAAUACCCGCUGAACUUACGCAUAUCAAUCAGCGGAGGA